rnacentral:antisense_RNA from 1 species
UGUAGGAGUGAGCCUGCUCGCGAUGGCUGCCUAACAUUCGGCAUCUCAGGCGCUUGGCAGACCGCUAUCGCGAGCAGGCUCACUCCUACA